UACGUAGGGGGCUAGCGUUGUCCGGAUUUAUUGGGCGUAAAGAGCGCGUAGGCGGCUCGUUAAGUGAGAAGUGAAAGCUGUGGGCUCAACCCACAAACCGCUUUUCAUACUGGCGAGCUGGAGUGAUGCAGAGGUGGAUAGAAUUCCUGGUGUAGCGGUGAAAUGCGUUGAUAUCAGGAAGAACACCGGUGGCGAAGGCGGCGACCUGGUCCUUGACUGACGCUGAGGCGCGAAAGCGUGGGGAGCAAACAGG
rnacentral:rRNA from 1 species